rnacentral:rRNA from 1 species
CCUACGGGAGGCAGCAGUGGGGAAUUUUGGACAAUGGGCGCAAGCCUGAUCCAGCCAUGCCGGGUGUCUGAAGAAGGCCUUCGGGUUGUAAAGGACUUUUGUCAGGGAAGAAAAGGGCGGGGUUAAUACCCCUGUCUGAUGACGGUACCUGAAGAAUAAGCACCGGCUAACUACGUGCCAGCAGCCGCGGUAAUACGUAGGGUGCGAGCGUUAAUCGGAAUUACUGGGCGUAAAGCGGGCGCAGACGGUUACUUAAGCAGGAUGUGAAAUCCCCGGGCUCAACCUGGGAACUGCGUUCUGAACUGGGUGACUAGAGUGUGUCAGAGGGAGGUAGAAUUCCACGUGUAGCAGUGAAAUGCGUAGAGAUGUGGAGGAAUACCGAUGGCGAAGGCAGCCUCCUGGGAUAACACUGACGUUCAUGCCCGAAAGCGUGGGUAGCAAACAGGAUUAGAUACCCUGGUAGUCCACGCCCUAAACGAUGUCGAUUAGCUGUUGGGCAGCAUGACUGCUUUAGUAGCGAAGCUAACGCGUGAAAUCGACCGCCUGGGGAGUACGGUCGCAAGAUUAAAACUCAAAGGAAUUGACGGGGACCCGCACAAGCGGUGGAUGAUGUGGAUUAAUUCGAUGCAACGCGAAGAACCUUACCUGGUCUUGACAUGUACGGAACCCUCCAGAGACGGAGGGGUGCCUUCGGGAGCCGUAACACAGGUGCUGCAUGGCUGUCGUCAGCUCGUGUCGUGAGAUGUUGGGUUAAGUCCCGCGACGAGCGCAACCCUUGUCAUUAGUUGCCAUCAUUAAGUUGGGCACUCUAAUGAGACUGCCGGUGACAAGCCGGAGGAAGGUGGGGAUGACGUCAAGUCCUCAUGGCCCUUAUGACCAGGGCUUCACACGUCAUACAAUGGUCGGUACAGAGGGUAGCCAAGCCGCGAGGUGGAGCCAAUCUCACAAAACCGAUCGUAGUCCGGAUUGCACUCUGCAACUCGAGUGCAUGAAGUCGGAAUCGCUAGUAAUCGCAGGUCAGCAUACUGCGGUGAAUACGUUCCCGGGUCUUGUACACACCGCC